UCUGAAGUCUGAACAGAAGUCUAGCACAAGUCUGCGUGACCAUGUGUGAGAAGACCCAGUGAGCUGUGAAAGUGAUUGCAUCAUCUGUGAAGCAGUUUUUUCUAUAUGCAUAAAGUUGAGAAGUGUGUGUGUGUGUGUGUGUGUGUGUGUGUGUGUGUGUGUGUGUGUGGGACGAGUGCUUUGAGGUGAGCCAUGACCAGUUUUUCAAAACACUUCAUGAUCACAGGGGUGAGUGUGACAAUUGCUGCAUUCACCAAGGCACGACACUGUAGACUUCGGCUCAGGAGUAAUGGAGGUGUAUAUACAGCACUUAGAGAUGACCAUCUGGUCCACAAGCUUUCGAUAGUGACUCAAGGUCAGCGACUCAGUGAUUCAAGGAGACUCAAACCCUGUGCACAUGAUCUGCUAUCCAUGGGUUGGAUGAUGUGGAAAAUGUCCUGCUAUAGAGCUCCAACCCUAUUGAACACAUCUGGGAUGAAUGUGAAUGCUGACUGCACCCUAGGUUUCCUCACCUCCAUCAGUCCUCACUCUUUACACGUGAAACUCCUCACACGUGAGUUUCUCGUUGGAAACAACUCGAUCUUACUUGCACGCCCACCCUACUCACCAGAUUUGCGGGCUUUUUCCUCUUCUCGAAGAAAAAGGUCCAGCUUGCGGUAUUGACAUCAUUGUGGAGAUCCAGCGCAAAUCACAGAAGGUGCUUACACAAUUCAGAAAGAAGACUUCCAGAACAUGUUGCAGAAGAACACUGAGAGCGUUGUAUGACUGUGCAAGUAAAAGUGUGGAAAUGUAGAUAAAUUAAGUACUUUCUAUUAAACAGAGUAUCUACAAAAUA